UACGUAGGGUGCAAGCGUUUAAUCGGAAUUACUGGGCGUAAAGCGUGCGCAGGCGGUUUUGUAAGCCAGAUGUGAAAGCCCCGGGCUCAACCUGGGAAUGGCGAUGGAUACUGGCUCGCUAGAGUGCGGUAGAGGAGAGUGGAAUUCCCGGUGUAGCAGUGAAAUGGCGUAGAGAUCGGGAGGAACAUCAGUUGCGAAGGCGGCUCUCUGGACCAGCACUGACACUGAGGCACGAAAGCGUGGGGAGCAAACAGG
rnacentral:rRNA from 1 species